UGUAGCCCACUUGAAACCAUCUGCUAGGAAUUUCAAACAGGUUGCAAUUACGAAGCUAGUACUGAUCGAAAGAACUUCACUGGCUGCAUUUAUUCGACUUCAACCUUCACAAACCAAUACCUUCCUGCCUGGUCUGCUAAAUUAGUUACCCGACUUGACUUUGAAUUCGCCCUCUGUUACUUGGCAUGCUUCGAAGGCUUUGCAAAUAAGUAGGGGACUCAGCACUUGUUUUUUGAAGUCGGUUUGGGAAGAAAACGAUUUG